GUACACCAACAGUGGAGACUUCCUUCAAAUGUGUAGCACAGCUUGUGAGGAGGAUGGCAGGGAACAAAGCAAGGAACUGUCAGAAGCUCUUCUGCUGAAGUACUGCUAAAGGCUGUUUAGGAAAGGGUUUGUUACAAGGACUCCAAACCCACAGCAAGAAGUCCAACAUGCAGGCACAGAGGGAGAAGCUUCCACUGAGGCCAUGACAGCAGUGGUCUCAGAUGUAUAUUGGAUUGGGGAGUUCUUUUAUUACACGCACAAGCAGUUCUAUAGCAUACAAUCUGGUGCACCAUACAUGUAGGUGUUCAAAUAACAUUGACUAUUAUAAUUCCACCAGGUGCCAUCAUACCGCCACCUCAAAAAAACGUUAGUAUACAGGUCUUCCCAAAAUUGUCUUGAACACCGAAUGUUAAAUAUCUGAAAUGUAAUACAAUUCAGAUAUUUAGGUGUUGAAGACAAUCUUCAGAAGGCCUCUAUGACAACGUUUUUUGAGGAAGCGGUAUAAUGGCACCUGGUGGAAUUAAGCGAAUGUAUGUUACUAGUAAGUUUAUGCAGCUACAAGUUGAUUUUUGCAUUUGACAUAUAUGUUUAGAAUGUAUAGAUUGACAUUACUGUACAUGUAACAUACAGAUAUCAUCUGUUUUUAAA